UCGAGAAUUUUUCACAAUGGGCGCAAGCCUGAUGGAGCGACGCCGCGUGGGGGAUGAAUGGCUUCGGCCCGUAAACCCCUGUCAUUUGCGAUCAACCGUUAUUAUUUAAAAGAUGAUAACCUGAUAGUAGCGAAAGAGGAAGGGACGGCUAACUCUGUGCCAGCAGCCGCGGUAAUACAGAGGUCCCAAGCGGUGUUCGGAUUUACUGGGCGUAAAGGGUGCGUAGGUGGCGGUGUAAGUCGGAUGUGGAAUCUCCGAGCUCAACUCGGAAACUGCAUUGGAAACUACAUUGCUCGAGGGUUGGAGGGGGGACUGGAAUACUUGGUGUAGCAGUGAAAUGCGUAGAUAUCAAGUGGAACACCAGUGGCGAAGGCGAGUCCCUGGACAACUCCUGACACUGAGGCACGAAAGCUAGGGGAGCAAACAG
rnacentral:rRNA from 1 species